rnacentral:rRNA from 1 species
CGGCAAAAGCUCAAAUUUGAAAUCUGGUACCUUCGGUGCCCGAGUUGUAAUUUGGAGAGGGCAACUUUGGGGCCGUUCCUUGUCUAUGUUCCUUGGAACAGGACGUCAUAGAGGGUGAGAAUCCCGUGUGGCGAGGAGUGCGGUUCUUUGUAAAGUGCCUUCGAAGAGUCGAGUUGUUUGGGAAUGCAGCUCUAAGUGGGUGGUAAAUUCCAUCUAAAGCUAAAUAUUGGCGAGAGACCGAUAGCGAACAAGUACAGUGAUGGAAAGAUGAAAAGAACUUUGAAAAGAGAGUGAAAAAGUACGUGAAAUUGUUGAAAGGGAAGGGCAUUUGAUCAGACAUGGUGUUUUGUGCCCUCUGCUCCUUGUGGGUAGGGGAAUCUCGCAUUUCACUGGGCCAGCAUCAGUUUUGGUGGCAGGAUAAAUCCAUAGGAAUGUAGCUUGCCUCGGUAAGUAUUAUAGCCUGUGGGAAUACUGCCAGCUGGGACUGAGGACUGCGACGUAAGUCAAGGAUGCUGGCAUAAUGGUUA